CCAAACCAGGCGUGCCUGUGG
rnacentral:miRNA from 2 species